GAUGAACGCUGGCGGCGUGCCUAAUACAUGCAAGUCGAGCGAACAGACGAGGAGCUUGCUCCUCUGACGUUAGCGGCGGACGGGUGAGUAACACGUGGAUAACCUACCUAUAAGACUGGGAUAACUUCGGGAAACCGGAGCUAAUACCGGAUAAUAUAUUGAACCGCAUGGUUCAAUAGUGAAAGACGGUUUUGCUGUCACUUAUAGAUGGAUCCGCGCCGCAUUAGCUAGUUGGUAAGGUAACGGCUUACCAAGGCAACGAUGCGUAGCCGACCUGAGAGGGUGAUCGGCCACACUGGAACUGAGACACGGUCCAGACUCCUACGGGAGGCAGCAGUAGGGAAUCUUCCGCAAUGGGCGAAAGCCUGACGGAGCAACGCCGCGUGAGAGAUGAAGGUCUUCGGAUCGUAAAACUCUGUUAUUAGGGAAGAACAAAUGUGUAAGUCACUAUGCACGUCUUGACGGUACCUAAUCAGAAAGCCACGGCUAACUACGUG
rnacentral:rRNA from 1 species